UACAGAGGUCCCAAGCGUUGUUCGGAUUCAUUGGGCGUAAAGGGUGCGUAGGCGGCGCGGUAAGUCGGGUGUGAAAUCUCGGAGCUUAACUCCGAAACUGCAUUCGAUACUGCCGUGCUUGAGGACUGGAGAGGAGACUGGAAUUUACGGUGUAGCGGUGAAAUGCGUAGAUAUCGUAAGGAAGACCAGUGGCGAAGGCGGGGCUCUGGACAGUUCCUGACGCUGAGGCACGAAGGUCAGGGGAGCAAACAGG
rnacentral:rRNA from 1 species